UGUGUAGGCGGACUGGCGUGUCGAUGGUGAAAGCUCUCGGCUCAACCGAGAAAGGGCUGUCGAAACUACCAGACUUGAGGACGGAAGAGGAAACUGGAACUUCUGGUGUAGCGGUAAAAUGCGUAGAUAUCAGAAGGAACGCCGAUAGCGAAGGCAGGUUUCUGGGACGUUCCUGACGCUGAAACACGAAAGCUAGGGGAGCAAACA
rnacentral:rRNA from 1 species